CAGAGUUGAAAAACUCCCUAACCCUUUGUUUACAUACCUGUUCAGUUGCUUCGGCAGGCGGCCCCAGGGCGGGGCCUCCAGCCUGCUCACGCAGGUGCCUGCCGCUGGCGCAAAAAAACUCUGUUAUAUAUUACCACUCUGAGUCUAAAAACAAAUGAAUCA
rnacentral:misc_RNA from 2 species